CAGUGUAGGGUUAGUGGCAGUGUAGAGUUAGUGUUAGUCUAUUGCUGGCUCUAACCCUAUGCUAACACUAACUCUACACUGCCACUAAUCCUACACUUA
rnacentral:miRNA from 1 species